UGAUACUCUCUAUACAAAUCAUUCUCUGCCCAAUAAAAAGGUCGACACGCGAGAGGAGCUCCUUCUCAAUUUGUUUUCACCAUCACAUUAAACAGACACCCUCACCCAUCGGAAAACCGACCCACCACCAAGCUUCUUCCUCUUCAACAAAGACCAUCCCCGCUGAACUCAUCUGCUUGGUUUCGAGAACAAGCACACACACACACGAAACAGAGCCUGGAAACGGAAAGCAGAACUCGGUCUUUACCGAUUCAUUGUUUUGAUCUUUAGGAGACCAGAAAUUGAACAAAAAUAGGUCUCGAUGGUUUUUCUUUUUCAUUUCAAUUUCUGUCUCGUUUGAAGUUAGUGUCCGGGUCGUUUGAGUUUCAAAGCUUUCGUUUUCUUUUGAUUUCAAUGGAGACAACUUAAAUUCUGCCCGUGUCAGAGUUUGUCGAGUGUUCCUCGCUGGUCGAGGUCUGUUCGAGAUUGAUAGUUCCUGUUGCUCGGUUGUUUGUUUGUCGUGGAUUUUCGUCACCGGAUUUAUUUGUAUUUGACAGCGAGCAGAAUUAAUUGAAGAUCCCUGUCGCUGAACUUGUCAAAAUCUGUUGUGGUAUGAAAAGUUUUGUCAUGGAGUUCAUUUGAAUUUCAAAGUUUUGUUUCUUCUGACUUCUAUUGGAGUUGAUUCAAUUUUGUUCAUGGAUUUUGUUUGAGUUUUGUGGUUGCUUCAUGGUUUGGUGUUGUUCAAGUUAGUUCCAUGGUUCGCAAUGGAUUUUGUUUGAGUUUUGUGGUUGCUUCGAGGUUUGGUGUUGUUCAAGUUAGUUCCAUGGUUCGCAAUCCAAGUUCUUGUUACUAUCUCGGUUUUCCGAUCAAACAUAAUUGUCCGUUGGAGUUCAAAGAGGCAGUCUAGUUCGCCAUCCCUUGAUCCUGAUCGAAGUGUCGUCCAUUGUUUCCGGUCAAGCUCGAGUUGCCGAAUCUCUGUGGCUGUUUGAAUCUCAACGUUCAUCUGCUUGAAUACCUAAUCUAAACAGAGUCCUAAUAUCGAAAGCUUAUCAAGGCACUACUAUAUAUUCGAGGUCGUUUCGUCAAGGUCUGGUUUGUCGAGUUUCCGUUCGCUUGUGUUGUUGCCUAUUUUCUGUCGCGAUCCGAUAUCCAUUUCUGUUGGGUUUGUCAGUGAGUUAAAUUCAAAGGAAAAUUGAUCCAUUCGAGGUCCAUCUCUUACCCUACUUUAAUUUUUCUUAUGUGAUGCUUAUUUCUGGAUUUACUUAUGCUGAUUUAGUUAGUUGAUCGAAUUGUCAUGGCUGAACAUAAUACUCUUGAUAUGCUGUGUUGAUCGAUGAAUAUUGGUUGAUUUGAGUUGAAGUUAUGUUGAAAUUUUAAUUGUAAACAACUUAUGAAUUCUGGUCUGGUGGAUUUUUGUUGAUAUUUAAUUCAAAUGGAAGCAGUUAAUGAGCCAUUGAAGUAAGUGUGAAUAAAUGGAAUGGGAUCGGAUUUUGGUGGCAGCAGAGAUGUGGUAACUUUGUAGUUAAGUGUUUAAGUAAUUUCUUAAUUGUUUCAAUUGUGAAAAAAUGCAAUUAGGUUGAAGAAUUUUCUACAUUUCCUGGUGCUGGAACUACCUAUAUAAAGUAGUGGUUUGAAUUUAUUUUUCUUUCUUUCCCUAUUUUGUUUUUCUUGAAAUCAGUUGGUUACAUAAGACAGUUGCACGUAUGUGAAAUGAUGGAAUUUGAACGUAGAUGGUGUAUUUUCACUUCUGAACUUAUUUUGGAAGCUUCUGCUUACUUGUCACUAGUUUUAGAUUAAAAAUACAAAUGAACUUUUGUCUGAGUAGUUCAUGACCCUCUAAAUAAAACUUGAAUUCCUUUUCUUUAGAUUAGAAUCGAGGUGUGCCAUGCCAAGCAAAAAAAAAAACAACAAUUGCAUAGCUCUCGUUUUAAUUCAGUAUUGAUCCUUAGAAUCUGAGGCGUGCCGUUUAGCUAAAUUUUACGGCCCUCGCAAAUUGCAAACGCGUAGUUGCUUUAGGCGCGUAUCUAAUAAUUUACAUUCCUAAAUACGGGUGAGCAUUUUAUGCGGCCCAAAUCUAAAUCCUAAAACGUUGAAUAGAGUGUGCCUGGGAUUGUGGGUUCAUUUGAUGCGGCGCAAUCCAAAAGCAUACUUUAAACGAUGUUCACUUUCUCUUAAAUAAAUACAAAUUAAAUAAAAGCGGUUAAAGAUAAAAUUGGCACAUAGGCAUUUCAUGUAUUAAAAUCAGAUUUUAGCCAUUCAUAACAAUUUAAGCGAUCGUGCUAGAACCACGGGAUCCGAGGGUGUCUAACACCUUCCCUCGCGUAAACAGAAUUCCUUAUUUAGAAUUUCUGGUUCGCAGACUCCAAUUGGGAAGUCGAACAUUUUCCCCGGAUUGGGAUUCAAGCUGAACUGGUGACUUGGGACACCAAAACCCGAACCUUUCCCAAGUGGCGACUCUGAAUAAAUAAAUAAUCCCGAUCCGAAUAAUGUCACUUUAAAUGGAAAAACUCCCUAUGUGUGUAAAAAGGAGGUGUGACAGCUCUGACGACUCUGCUGGGGAAAGAACCUAGAACUUUUUGUUCAGGAUUCAGAAUUCGAGCUUAGAAUAAUUGUUGUGUUUAGAUUUAUCUGAUUCCGUUACAUGAUAUUUGCUUAAUGUACUAAUUGAUUGCUUUUACCUAAAAACUCCCUUAUACAUUAUCCUUCGGGUAGGUGUGUAAAAAGGAGGUCUGACACAACAUAUAGUCAAAUUUUGAUUUGAAGAAUCGACUAUUUGGUUAUAAAAAUAAUAAUGCAGUAAUUUAUGUGUUCUUGAACCAACUGAUCCUCCUCCUGCUUCUUCGUACCCGAAAGAGCAUAACCUCAUAGAUUUUGGCAGAAGUUAGGUUUUGGUAGUUCAAAAUUCCGAAGAUAUAAACAGAAAAAUGAAGAAAAUCAAAUAAAACAUGUAUAUUUUACCAUCGCGUUCAUCAUACUGUUCAAAAUUCCGAAGAUAUAUACAGAAAAAUGAAGAAAAUCAAAUAAAACAUGUAUAUUUUACCAUCGCGUUCAUCAUACAUAGAUUGCCCGAAAUUUUAUGGUAUAUAAGUGUUGUUCAGCUAAUUACUACUGCCCUUUUAAUCCUAUAUAUAAUUACUAUUGCAUUAUAACAGGAUAAAAUGCAAGAUUGAAGUUGUCUGCUUUCUUACUCCUUUUCAGGCAUGGGAAGUGAUUUCGACAAAUUUGGUUGGAUUACAACAACAACAAAUCUAGCAGUUUCCCACAAGUGGGGUCUGGGGAGCUAAGAUGUACCAGCCUUACCCUUACUUUGGAAGGGCAGAAAGACUGUUUCUAAUAGACUCAAAUUUGGCCGGACUAAAGGUUGAAAAUCAUAUCAACCUAUUGAAGGAGCUUAUUGCAAGUGCUGACCCCAAUAGCAGCAGCAAGAUGCCAAGCAGCAUGUAGAAAUGGUGUUUCAG
rnacentral:lncRNA from 1 species